UACGUAGGUGGCGAGCGUUGUCCGGAUUUACUGGGCGUAAAGAGCGCGCAGGCGGUCGAUUUAGUCGUGUGUGAAAGCCCCCGGCUCAACUGGGGAGGGUCACGCGAUACUGAUCGACUCGAAGGCAGGAGAGGGUAGUGGAAUUCCCGGUGUAGUGGUGAAAUGCGUAGAUAUCGGGAGGAACACCAGUGGCGAAGGCGACUACCUGGCCUGUUCUUGACGCUGAGGCGCGAAAGCUAGGGGAGCAAACGGG
rnacentral:rRNA from 1 species